rnacentral:rRNA from 1 species
GACGAACGCUGGCGGCGUGCUUAACACAUGCAAGUCGAACGGAAAGGCCCUGCUUUUGUGGGGUGCUCGAGUGGCGAACGGGUGAGUAACACGUGAGUAACCUGCCCUUGACUUUGGGAUAACUUCAGGAAACUGGGGCUAAUACCGGAUAGGAGCUCCUGCUGCAUGGUGGGGGUUGGAAAGUUUCGGCGGUUGGGGAUGGACUCGCGGCUUAUCAGCUUGUUGGUGGGGUAGUGGCUUACCAAGGCUUUGACGGGUAGCCGGCCUGAGAGGGUGACCGGCCACAUUGGGACUGAGAUACGGCCAAGACUCCUACGGGAGGCAGCAGUGGGGAAUAUUGCACAAUGGGCGGAAGCCGGAUGCAGCAACGCCGCGUGCGGGAUGACGGCCUUCGGGUUGUAAACCGCUUUCGCCUGUGACGAAGCGUGAGGGACGGUAAUGGGUAAAGAAGCACCGGCUAACUACGU